AGGCAAUAUAAUGUAUAAGAUGAGUAUCCAGUGUUUUAUUUAUGAGAAUAGAUCUACCGGCCUCUAAUAGUUCAGAAGUGAGAUCUGAAACCUAUGAUAGUAACGUGAUUUCAAAGUGUUCCAGGUGACCAAUGUUUCGUGUUAUUUGUCACGAAUAUUAACACAAAACGCCCACGAUUCUAUGGUUCUAAUUGAAUAUGAUGAAGAGAGAAUGUCAUGGAAACCACGCUGACAAAGGUGUGAGAUGCAGAAAAGUAUUUAAGUACGAGAAAUGAUGGACGCAAAUUAUGAACAUACUCCCUCCGUAACUUGGCUUGUGGUCACGUAAGUGGUGAACAAUUUGACUAACGAUGGCCCCAGAGCAGAUAUGGUGACUUAUCUGUCUGCGGGUUGGCCCUGUGGUGAGCAAAUCAGUCAAGCACAAUACCUGAGUGAAGCUGAACACUGAACAAGGGGUACUUCACAUAAAUGAUUUGGAGUUGGACAGAAGGAAAUGCAAUACAAAAGGGCAUCAGCUGUGAUAUUUGGUGAGUGAAAAUGUAAUACAAAAGGAAUUAGCUGUGAUAUUUGGUGAGUUGAAUUAAUGUUUUAUUGCAAGGGUUGAGCUGAGACUAGCAGUGCCACUGCGGCUUGGUUGUUUAACUGUGCUUAUUCUUGUCAUUGGCAUGAAAUUGCAUACAAUUAACUUGAGUGUGAACAGAUUGUAAUAAUGAAUUGGCUACAGUCUACUGCUAGACUUUAGAACUUCCCAACUGCCGCUAACAGUCUUAAGCAAAAAGUUAUUAUUAAUAAUGGUGAAUAAGAGAGUGAUGUGUUUGAAUAGAAAUAAAUGCUUAUCAUUGGUCAUUAGCAUUGGCCUAUUGUGUGGUAUACUGCUGUACUGUGCGAAAGUUAGCUAUUUACCCGACUGCACCAGAAGGAGGGUUAUGUUUUUUUAAUAAUGUUAUCAAUGGAGCAAAGUACUAGCAGUGAUCAAAUAAAGUUUAUAUUGGUGAUGAUUGUGUUGUGUGCUUCCCUGUAAUGACUGGGUUAACAACAGAUACUUGAAUAUGAAGUCAGUUGCAUUGUGGGUGAAUUUUGGCCAAGCAUGAGAAGAGAAGUAUUGUACUUGUUAAAUUAAAGUUCUUGGAUAUUUCCAUGAAUGCUUGUUCCUAUUUGAGGAUGGUAAGUUCAUGGAAGUAUGUGCAGUUUCCAAAGAUAAUAGUUGGAAGUGUAUUGCUGUCAACACAACAAUAACAGUAAGUUUAUUAUGAUAAAGUUGCAUUUGUGUGUGAAGCAAAUUUGUGUUCACUAAGACACAAUGUUAAGCAUAAAUUGUUUCACUGUUUAUUACUGGCAUUAUUAUUGAUGAUGAUGAUUUAUGUAGUUGUGUUAUUCAUCUUAAUAUUUUAGAGUUUACAUUGAAAUAUUUUAUUAUUUAAAUAAAGAUAAUUUUAGCAAAUUUCUUAUGAUGUUGUGAUUAUGGGAAUGGUUUGAAAAUAAUAAUAAUAAUAAUGGGGGUAUGAUGUACUAUGUGAGGAUCAUACACCAGUGGGCAUUGUCAUGAAACUGGGUGGACUUUGUCAUUUUGUGUGAGAUGGAUGUCCUGAUAGCUGUGUGAGGAGGACAUGUGGCAUUGUCUUGAAACUGUGUGGACAUUGUCAUUCUGAGUGGGAUGUCUGUGUGACAUCAGGAAUUGUGAAGAUGUCGUGUCUUGUGUGGGAGACAUCAUGAACUAUGAUGUUUUGGCUUGUGUAGCGACAUCAUAGGGCUGUGUGGCGAGGCGCAAACUGUGUGGAAUGGCCUAAUCUGUGUGGGUUUAAAGAGAAAAUGUUAAAAGAACCAUAACCAAUCCCAUAAAUCAUUUAGGUCCAAUAGUAUUUAUUUUAAUUGUAUUGCAUUGUAUAACUUCAUUAAAAUUACGUCAUUAGGAGUUCACAAUGUUCUAAAUUAAUUCUGAAUAAUACCGAAGAGAAGAGGCAGUAUCAUGAGCAAAUGGAGAACCUACUGAGAAAGGCAUACGCCGGGCGCUGUAGUGGUGACUUCGUGGAAAGCUUCAACGACAUCGAGCAAGCAAAGAAGUGAUUUUUCAAGUGGACGAAGACCACAGGAAGGCGGUCUUCCAUGUCCGGAACUGGAACAGCAACAACGACAGACUGCUAGCAGUCGCCCCGAGCGGCAGGCGCGCCGCGAAGAAAGGAGCGACUCCCCUAGAAGCUCCUGAAAAGCAGUGGCGCCUCAAGACCGGAUGGGACGAGCCCGUGCUGGAAAACGUCGCAGCAUACUUCGAGAAAUGGCUGUCAGACCUGCAGAUUAUGAAGAGACUGCGUAUUCCUCGAUACUACUACGGGGGGGAGA